AAAGUGGCAGUUUUGCAUAAUAUUUGGAAUAAUUACAUAUGUACGAUCAUUUUACCAGAAGUACAAUAAUUUCAACCUGUGUAGUACGAUAAUAUGGCCAAAACAAUCUGGCAACGCUGGACUUGAGAAGCAGUGACAGGUGGCGCUGGGGAGGGAUGGAGGGGGGACAGGCGGCUGGGUGGCUGCAUCGUUUUGGUCAGCACUGGUCAGUCUUGCCCCACACGCCCUAUUAACCAGUGUUUUCGUAUUCCCGGCAGUUUCUCCUUGCACCGAGCACCGCCAAGCAGCACCAGAGAGGCACGAGUACAUAAGCAAAGAAAAGGAGACACAGGAGUAAGAGAAGAAAAGAAUGGGAAAAUGAGAACAGGAGGAUGAAAGAAGAGAAGGAAGAAGAGAAAAAAAAAGAAUAAAGAGAGAACGAGAAUAUGACAGCAUGGAAAAGGAGAUACAGGAGGAGGAGGAGGAAAAGAAGUAAAGAAACACAAAGACAAUGAGAAUAAGAAUGUGAAGAGUAUGGAGAGAAGAGAGAGAGAGAGAGAACAACAUGAAGGAAGAGUAGGAAGAAAAGAAGAAAGAAGAGUAAGGAAAAGAGAAGAAAGAAAAGAAAGAAGAUGAGUAGGAAGAGUAAGAAGGAAGAUGAGUAAGAAGAGAGAAGAGAAAGAAAAAGAAUAAAAAGAAGAAAAGAAGGAAGAAGAGAAGAAAUAAGCCUACCUGGAAAACAGCUUGCGUGAGGGAGCCUGUGGAACAAUAGAAGAUCCUGAGGGAAGCCGUCCAACACUUGACCGUCAGGCUCUCACUCAGGAUGAAUCUCUUCACACUCCUGUAAACAGAACAGAACAACUCAUAGGAAUGAUAAACUAAACAAAAUUGGACUUGAAAAGGGGAUAGGGAGGAACUGGUUCAUAAAUAGAGUUAGGUUCUAAGACUGAAUGCAUCUCUUCGCACUUCUGUAAAGCAUCAGCAGAAUAUUAGUCACAUUUUAAACUCAUACUAAGCUGUCUACAUACAUACAUACUAGGACAUCAAUAAAUGCUUGUUAUUAAAA